rnacentral:misc_RNA from 1 species
GUUUGAAUUAGUUUCAUUUUGAUUUCUCUUGUAGAUUAAUUUGACCUGGAGAAUAUCAUUUGGUGACGACUAAUUAGAUUACUUGUUGGUGUAUUAUUGUUGGCUUUGUACUGCCUUAUCAAACUUCCUACUUGCUUAUUUUUUGAGUUCUGAAGAGUUUCUUUCUUCACCUUGUUAUUCGGUUCGCAUAUGAUGCAUGUAGUUG